rnacentral:rRNA from 1 species
GACGAACGCUGGCGGCGUGCUUAACACAUGCAAGUCGAACGGAAAGGCCCCUUUGGGGGUCCUCGAGUGGCGAACGGGUGAGUAACACGUGAGUAACCUGCCCUUGACUUCGGGAUAACUUCAGGAAACUGGGGCUAAUACCGGAUAGGAAUCCUUGCUGCAUGGUGGGGGUUGGAAAGCUUCGGCGGUUUUGGAUGGACUCGCGGCUUAUCAGCUUGUUGGUGGGGUAGUGGCUUACCAAGGCUUUGACGGGUAGCCGGCCUGAGAGGGCGACCGGCCACAUUGGGACUGAGAUACGGCCCAGACUCCUACGGGAGGCAGCAGUGGGGAAUAUUGCACAAUGGGCGGAAGCCUGAUGCAGCAACGCCGCGUGCGGGAUGAUGGCCUUCGGGUUGUAAACCGCUUUCAGCAGGGGCGAAGCUUGUGGUGACGGUACCUGCAGAAGAAGCACCGGCUAACUACGUG